GGGGUGAGAUCUGUCUCCAGCACACGCUCUCAUCCUCUCCAGGUGGAAAAGAAGGCAACGUGUCACAGUGUCUGCUGAUGCUGUUCUUCCUCAGUUUGGCCAGUGCUUGGAGAGCAAAAAACACCAGUGCCACUGUUUGCUCACCUCCGCUCUCUUCCUCGACUGGCGAGGUGUCUGCGAGGUUCGGGCCAGCACCCUGCAGAGAGGAGUCCACCUCAUCCAAACGAGGCCUGACAGGCGACUGCGUCCACGACGCCGCGUGCACACUGGGACCGGCCGCCAGGGGCAUUCGGCUAAGACGUCGGCCAACGGUAUUUGCUGACUGCUUUUUCUCCUAAUUGGGAAGUUAUUUAAAGGAACCUUCCUGGUGGUGUCAUUUUUAAUUACUCUGUAAGCCUUGCUACUGAGAUCCAAGAGAGAGGGACAGAUUGCCUGUGCUCGGAUAGUUGAAGAACGAGGAGACCGGCUCCAAAGGAAGUUUAAUUAACUGUUUUCCUAAAUUGCAGGCUCAGCAUCCUCCUACAGCAUCGAGAGCUGCUCCAACGAACGCUGCAUGAACACGAGAUGUUUCGGAGGGCUUUCUAACUUGGUAAUGUGGAAACAAAUGCUCCGCUUCCUCCUGUACGCGACCGUCUUUUUUUUUUUUUUUUUUUAAGAUGUUCCACAGGACCGUUUCUUUCCCACAGAAGCCGCCGCUCUGGGUUCCUGCGCUCCUCUCCCUCGCUCCCUCCGCCGAUUGAUAUUCGCGCCGAGCAGGCAGCCUGAGCCCCGGAGCUCAAAGGGUUCCGUAUCUGUGGUCCACGGCGCUGAAGAGGGUGGAACGCAGUGAAAUAAUAGAAAUCUUAAGAGGUGAGAAUCAAGAGUGGCUCCAGAACAAGUCAAGAGUGGCUAAGUGUCAACCGCCCUUGUGCUGCCUUGAAGUCCAUGUCGACGUGGCUGCCGCGAUGGGUGUCGCCCUGGUGUUUCUUCUCAGGUAUGUUAAAACGUAUGAAUGUAUCCUGUGGUUAAAACCAAACCAUCAUGGCUGCUCAGUGCUGUUUUGUCUUUCUGCAGCGCUGUUGUGCUUCCCUCUGUGUCAGCUGGAGGUGUUUAUUGUGCUAAAACAGCCAGAGCCCGUGCAGCUGCCCUGGGUUUGUAUUACCCCGGCGUCUACGCACCAGCUCCGCCUGGGACGCGUCCCAGCAGCAGGCUGCUUGGACCUCAACCCUACCAGGACGGUCGUCCUUUGUGGAAAGAAACUGGACCCGACGCGGCUUCUCACGCAAACCGGCAACCCGACGUAAGAUUCCCAGAUGGCCGACCGCGUGAACCAACGCACCCCUGGAGUUGGCGCGGCGCUUCCCGUCCGGCUCAGCGUGACCACGCCGCCGGCCGAGCGCUCCCCAGAGGGCGCUCCGUCAUCUACCGCCAGCCCUAUUCUGAGGAGGUCAAGCGCGUUGUCCCUCCGACGGCGGCUGGAGCCCCGGGCCGGCCUGACCUUGUGGAUUGGCGUCCCCAAGGUCGCAGCCGGCCGCCCUCGCCUGUCUACGAUGGGCGCGACCACGCGGUUGACGAGUCUGUCCCAAAUGGACGUGACGUGUCUGUGAGGGGGCUCCCGCUGCCCCGAAGCGGGGGUCGUGGCGCUUACCCAAGCUCUAUUCCUGGACGCGGCCUGGCGAGAGAUGCCCCUGUCCUCCGCUCAUCCGGCUCCGCCGCCAGGGCGCCGUCCGGCCCAGAUCCCGGACCAGCCGGGAUUGGCCUGUCUGGCAGUCUUGCGCGUCCCCUGCGCAGACGCCUCCACGUCGAACAGCCUUUUGCAAGGUGACCCUGUUCAAGGACGUCGGGCGGAACGCAGCAUCGGGUCCAGUUGGAAUGAGUCGGGGAGCGUGACGCUUUGCCGUCGUCUUCCUGUGAGGAUCUGUUGAAGAUGGCAGGCGAGCAUUUUUUGACUGAUGAGAAAUGUGUUUGUCAGGUGUUCUCUAACUGUUUUUUUGUUUAUUGAACAAUGCUCAUCGUGUGUGUGUGUGUCUAUAUGCUUGUGCAUUGUCCCUUACUUGAAUGUAACACUAAAACUAGAUGCUUUCUUGAAUACACGUUGUAUUUUGCCUCUUUCUGCUCCCCCAUCAGAGAUGUGUUACCACAGUGCCAUCUGUUGGUUCUGAGGUGAAGUUCUUCCUUCGGCUCACAUUGUUUGAGCACAGAAGCUCGACAAACGCCCUCAUCUCUUUACGCUCUUCAUUUUGCCCAAUGUCCAAAUAAAGUCUU
ensembl:lncRNA